UCUGCUUUUUUUCCUCCAUUGCCUAGUUCUCUGGUACCUAAACUGACAUAGCACAGGAAAAAUGAGUUUCCCAGCUUGUCCUUCUCCUGCAUCUGAAGUUCGUAGAGUGCACAGCACCAGCGCUCUGCUCUUACCUCCCUUCCAGGAGUUUGCCGGGACUUUGACAUUUCUCCCAGGAUGAAGAAAACCAACAAAUGGAAAGAUGAGGGAAAGAAGAAAUAGUAUCCACUUGCCUCACUGGUCACCAUUUUAAGAGGGUGGAGAGAUCCUCCUGGAGAACCAAGCCAGAAGGGAGGAGAACAGAGUCAAGAGCUAGAGAUCAAGUUUUGUUGGCCAUCUGGGGGUACCUGCAUUCAACUGUGGUUGAAGAAAAGUGCAAAUCCUGGGUUAUCUUCUAACAUAAAUCUAGACCAAACUAGAAGGAAACCACAACAGAAUAAAUAAACAGAACAUUCUUACUCA